UGCAGGAUAAGCAUAUUGCUCCCGUCAUUGCCAUGGCUACUGCCAGCUCCCCAGCACCCGACUGCCACAGCCAGGUGCCUAGAGGUCUCUUUGGAUACAUUGAGAAAGUGAAAAUAGAAGGCUACAUAACAGGAACAAGACAGGAGCAAAGAGACUCCAUUAAACUCAACUAGGGUCUUCAAGCCUUGAAAUGGCAAUCAGAAGCAGUCUUGGACCAGUGAACUUUCCAGGAAAGAUACCCACACCUGCUGCAGACCAUGUAUGCUGGGUGAAGCUGUGGAGUACCUUAAAGGGACUUUAAAAGCUCCUGCCAUGGGAAUUCCCUUCCCACAGGAAUUGAGCAAGACAUUCUCAGGCUGCCUUCUGAGGGACCCCUUGGCAAACCCCGAGGGAAUUGUUGGGCAAAAUCAGGUGACAGUCAAUUCCUGUCCAUGGACCUGGUCACCUGUGAUCCAUUCCUACUCUACUUGCGCUACAUUGAUGACAUCUUCAUCAUCUGGACCCCUGGGAAGGAGGACCUUGAGGAAUUCCACCAGGAUUUCAACACUUUCCACCCCACCAUCAACCUCAGCCUGAACCAGUCCACACAAGAGAUCCAUUUCCUAGACAUUACGGUACUAAUAAGCGAUGAUCACAUAAACACCACCCUAUACCGGAAACCUACUGACCGCUAUACUUACCUACAUGCCUCCAGCUUUCAUCCAGACCACAUCA